rnacentral:tRNA from 1 species
GCCCCUGUAGCUCAAUGGAUAGAGCAUCGCACUCCUAACGCGACGAUCCAGGUUCGAUUCCUGGUGGGGGCA